AACUUUUAGCAAUGGGUCACUUGGCUCUGGCAUCGAUGAAGAACGCAGCGAAAUGCGAUAAGUAAUGCGAAUUGCAGAAUUCAGUGAAUCAUCGAAUCUUUGAACGCACAUUGCGCCCGCUAGUAUUCUGGCGGGCAUGCCUGUCUGAGCGUCAUUUCAACCCUCGCGCCCGGCUCUUUUGCCGGAUGCGGUGUUGGGGAUCGGCCUGCCGUCUGACGGCGGGCCGGCCCCGAAAUGGAGUGGCGACCACGCCGUAGCCUCCUCUGCGUAGUAAUUCAAUUCUCGCAGGCGGAGAGCGGUGCGGUCACGCCGUUAAACCCCCCAAACUUUACCAAGGUUGACCUCAGAUCAGGUAGGAAUACCCGCUGAACUUAAGCAUAUCAAUAAGCGGAGGUU
rnacentral:misc_RNA from 1 species